CCUUUGGGAGGCAGCAGUGGGGAAUCUUACGGGAGGCAGCAGCCGUAAUUUUGCACAACGGGCGAAACCAUGAUGCCGCUAUGCCGCGUGAGCGAUGAAGUCCGUAGGAAAGUAAACUCCUUCAACCGGGAGGAUUAGACGGUACCAGAAGAAUAAGCACAGCUACUCG
rnacentral:rRNA from 1 species